rnacentral:lncRNA from 1 species
CGGAGUCCAUCCACGCGGUGGUCACCUUCCUCCAGUCACGCGGGCUCCAGUUCAAGGACCUGGGCCGCGUCUUCGGCAUGUGCCCGUCGGUCCUCACCGCCAGCGUCCGCGCCGACCUCCGCCCCGUCUUCGCCUUCCUCACCGACGACCUCGGCGUGCCGGAGACCGCCUACCGCCGCGUGGUCGUCAAGUGCCCGCGCGUGCUGGCCUGCAGCGUCCGCGACCAGCUCCGGCCGGCGCUCAUCUACCUCCGCCGCCUCGGCUUCCGGGACAACCGCGCGCUGGCGUUCCAGGACCCCAUCCUCCUCGUCUCCAGCGUGGAGCGCACCAUGGCGCCCAAGCUGGAGUACCUGGCCGGGCUGGGCAUGUCGCGGGACGACGCCGUGGCCAUGGCGCUCCGGUGCCCGGCCCUCUUCACCUUCAACGUGGAGAGGAACUACA